rnacentral:rRNA from 1 species
AACGAACGCUGGCGGCAGGCUUAACACAUGCAAGUCGAGCGCCCCGCAAGGGGAGCGGCAGACGGGUGAGUAACGCGUGGGAAUCUACCCAUCUCUACGGAAUAACGCAUGGAAACGCGUGCUAAUACCGUAUACGUCCUUCGGAGAAAGAUUUAUCGGAGAUGGAUGAGCCCGCGUUGGAUUAGCUAGUUGGUGGGGUAAAGGCCUACCAAGGCGACGAUCCAUAGCUGGUCUGAGAGGAUGAUCAGCCACACUGGGACUGAGACACGGCCCAGACUCCUACGGGAGGCAGCAGUGGGGAAUAUUGGACAAUGGGCGCAAGCCUGAUCCAGCCAUGCCGCGUGAGUGAUGAAGGCCCUAGGGUUGUAAAGCUCUUUCACCGGUGAAGAUAAUGACGGUAACCGGAGAAGAAGCCCCGGCUAACUUCGUGCCAGCAGCCGCAGUAAGAC